GGCGCCGCAGAGGCCGCGGGCAGCUUCGCAACCCAGCGCUCAACCGCUGAGCCACUGGGGAGGCCCCCUGCAGUCAUAUUUCUAAGGUGGUGAUGAAGAUGAUGCAGCUGUUGCCCGACGGGCACCUGUGAAGAAAGUGGUGGAUGCGGCACUGGACACCGUCAGUGAUAACAUGACGCCCAUGCACAACCACCUUCGGGAAAUCAUCAUCUGCACCUACCGCCAGAGCUUGGAGAGAGCAGAAAACUGAAGCUGUGGGUAAUCUGUGCAGCUGGAGCCCAAGGAGUUGAAAAGGAUUGCUACCCAGGCUUCAAAACACCAGAGGCUCUCCACCUCACACUGGGUGCGUUCUGU